AAAGGUACGUGCGCCACGCGAUGGCCGCUUGCGAGGUGCUGCAUGGUUGUCGUCAGCUCGUGCCGUGAGGUGUCGGGUUAAGGUCCCAUAACGAGCGCAACCCCUACCUGCUAGUUGCCAGCGGGUCAUGCCGGGGACUCUAGCGGAACUGCCAGCGUAAGCUGCGAGGAAGGUGGGGAUGACGUCAAGUCCUCAUGGCCCUUACGGGCUGGGCUACACACGUGCUACAAUGGUGGUGACAGUGGGCAGCGAGACCGCGAGGUCGAGCUAAUCUCCAAAAGCCAUCUCAGUUCGGAUUGCACUCUGCAACUCGAGUGCAUGAAGUUGGAAUCGCUAGUAAUCGCGGAUCAGCAUGCCGCGGUGAAUACGUUCCCGGGCCUU
rnacentral:rRNA from 1 species